rnacentral:rRNA from 1 species
UACGUAGGGGGCAAGCGUUGUCCGGAAUCAUUGGGCGUAAAGCGCGUGUAGGCGGUUCGAUAAGUCUGCUGUGAAAGUCCAGGGCUCAACCCUGGAAAGCCGGUGGAUACUGUCGGACUAGAGUGCGGAAGAGGCGAGUGGAAUUCCCGGUGUAGCGGUGAAAUGCGUAGAGAUGCGGAGGAACACCGAUGGCGAAGGCAGCCCCCCUGGGCUAGCACUGACGCUCAGGCACGAAAGCGUGGGGAGCAAACAGG